CAUGUCAGCAGAAUUUACUGUGGGUUCUCCAAGAUAAGCGAAGUAGGAUCAGCGAUAAACCAUGUCCUCCAGUUGCAGGAGAAGUGGCACUGCAGUUUCCCGAUGCCUUGGAACCCAGAAGGAAAAACAAGGAGGAGAGUGCCACAAGAGCAAUGGUUAAAGUAUUCAGCUGAAGAAGAGGACCCAAGAUAACGUACUUUUAGUGUCAUAUAUAUGGUGCAAAAGAAUAUGCUACACAGCAUUUGUAAAUGCCCUUGAGCUAAGAAAAUGUCCUACAGAUUUUGAUUAAAGGUCACUAAUCCUAAA